GGGUGAGUAACACGUGGGUAACCUGCCUGUAAGACUGGGAUAACUCCGGGAAACCGGAGCUAAUACCGGAUAGUUCCUUGAACCGCAUGGUUCAAGGAUGAAAGACGGUUUCGGCUGUCACUUACAGAUGGACCCGCGGCGCAUUAGCUAGUUGGUGGGGUAAUGGCUCACCAAGGCGACGAUGCGUAGCCGACCUGAGAGGGUGAUCGGCCACACUGGGACUGAGACACGGCCCAGACUCCUACGGGAGGCAGCAGUAGGGAAUCUUCCGCAAUGGACGAAAGUCUGACGGAGCAACGCCGCGUGAGUGAUGAAGGUUUUCGGAUCGUAAAGCUCUGUUGUUAGGGAAGAACAAGUGCGAGAGUAACUGCUCGCACCUUGACGGUACCUAACCAGAAAGCCACGGCUAACUACGUGCCAGCAGCCGCGGUAAUACGUAGGUGGCAAGCGUUGUCCGGAAUUAUUGGGCGUAAAGGGCUCGCAGGCGGUUUCUUAAGUCUGAUGUGAAAGCCCCCGGCUCAACCGGGGAGGGUCAUUGGAAACUGGGAAACUUGAGUGCAGAAGAGGAGAGUGGAAUUCCACGUGUAGCGGUGAAAUGCGUAGAGAUGUGGAGGAACACCAGUGGCGAAGGCGACUCUCUGGUCUGUAACUGACGCUGAGGAGCGAAAGCGUGGGGAGCGAACAGGAUUAGAUACCCUGGUAGUCCACGCCGUAAACGAUGAGUGCUAAGUGUUAGG
rnacentral:rRNA from 1 species